rnacentral:rRNA from 1 species
AGAGUUUGAUCAUGGCUCAGGACGAACGCUGGCGGCGUGCUUAACACAUGCAAGUCGAACGGAAAGGCCCUGCUUUUGUGGGGUGCUCGAGUGGCGAACGGGUGAGUAACACGUGAGUAACCUGCCCUUGACUUUGGGAUAACUUCAGGAAACUGGGGCUAAUACCGGAUAGGAGCUCCUGCUGCAUGGUGGGGGUUGGAAAGUUUCGGCGGUUGGGGAUGGACUCGCGGCUUAUCAGCUUGUUGGUGGGGUAGUGGCUUACCAAGGCUUUGACGGGUAGCCGGCCUGAGAGGGUGACCGGCCACAUUGGGACUGAGAUACGGCCCAGACUCCUACGGGAGGCAGCAGUGGGGAAUAUUGCACAAUGGGCGGAAGCCUGAUGCAGCAACGCCGCGUGCGGGAUGACGGCCUUCGGGUUGUAAACCGCUUUCGCCUGUGACGAAGCGUGAGUGACGGUAAUGGGUAAAGAAGCACCGGCUAACUACGUGCCAGCAGCCGCGGUGAUACGUAGGGUGCGAGCGUUGUCCGGAUUUAUUGGGCGUAAAGGGCUCGUAGGUGGUUGAUCGCGUCGGAAGUGUAAUCUUGGGGCUUAACCCCGAGCGUGCUUUCGAUACGGGUUGACUUGAGGAAGGUAGGGGAGAAUGGAAUUCCUGGUGGAGCGGUGGAAUGCGCAGAUAUCAGGAGGAACACCAGUGGCGAAGGCGGUUCUCUGGGCCUUUCCUGACGCUGAGGAGCGAAAGCGUGGGAGCGAACAGGCUUAGAUACCCUGGUAGUCCACGCUGUAAACGGUGGGUACUAGG